CGGCAAUGGAGGAAACUCUGACCGAGCAACGCCGCGUGAACGAUGAAGUAUUUCGGUACGUAAAGUUCUUUUAUUAGGGAAGAAUAAAUGAUGGAAAAAUCAUUCUGACGGUACCUAAUGAAUAAGCCCCGGCUAACUAUGUGCCAGCAGCCGCGGUAAUACAUAGGGGGCAAGCGUUAUCCGGAAUUAUUGGGCGUAAAGGGUGCGUAGGCGGUUAAAUAAGUUUAUGGUCUAAGUGCAAUGCUCAACAUUGUGAUGCUAUAAAAACUGUUUAGCUAGAGUAAGAUAGAGGCAAGUGGAAUUCCAUGUGUAGUGGUAAAAUGCGUAAAUAUAUGGAGGAACACCAGUAGCGAAGGCGGCUUGCUGGGUCUUUACUGACGCUGAGGCACGAAAGCGUGGGGAGCAAACUGGAUUAGAUACCCUGGUAGUCCACGCCGUAAACGAUGAGUACUAAACGUUGGGUAAAACCAGUGUUGAAGUUAACACAUUAAGUACUCCGCCUGAGUAGUACGUACGCAAGUAUGAAACUUAAAGGAAUUGACGGGACUCCGCACAAGCGGUGGAUCAUGUUGUUUAAUUCGAAGGUACCCGAAAAACCUCACCAGGUCUUGACAUGCUUCUGCAAAGCUGUAGAAACACAGUGGAGGUUAUCAGUUGCACAGGUGGUGCAUGGUUGUCGUCAGCUCGUGUCGUGAGAUGUUGGGUUAAGUCCCGCAACGAGCGCAACCCUUAUUGUUAGUUACCAGCACGUAAUGGUGGGGACUUUAGCAAGACUGCCAGUGAUAAAUUGGAGGAAGGUGGGGACGACGUCAAAUCAUCAUGCCCCUUAUGACCUGGGCUACAAACGUGAUACAAUGGCUGUUACAAAGAGUAGCUGAA
rnacentral:rRNA from 1 species